GCACUGGCUAGGUGUGCCUUUCUCGUGU
rnacentral:sRNA from 1 species